AUUGAACGCUGGCGGCAUGCCUUACACAUGCAAGUCGAACGGCAGCACGGGAGCAAUCCUGGUGGCGAGUGGCGAACGGGUGAGUAAUAUAUCGGAACGUGCCCAGUCGUGGGGGAUAACGCAGCGAAAGCUGUGCUAAUACCGCAUACGAUCUAAGGAUGAAAGCGGGGGAUCGCAAGACCUCGCGCGAUGGGAGCGGCCGAUAUCAGAUUAGCUAGUUGGUGGGGUAAAGGCCCACCAAGGCGACGAUCUGUAGCUGGUCUGAGAGGACGACCAGCCACACUGGAACUGAGACACGGUCCAGACUCCUACGGGAGGCAGCAGUGGGGAAUUUUGGACAAUGGGCGCAAGCCUGAUCCAGCAAUGCCGCGUGCAGGAUGAAGGCCUUCGGGUUGUAAACUGCUUUUGUACGGAACGAAACGGCCCUUUCUAAUACAGGGGGCUAUGACGGUACCGUAAGAAUAAGCACCGGCUAACUACGUGCCAGCCGCCGCCGUAA
rnacentral:rRNA from 1 species